rnacentral:rRNA from 1 species
GAUGAACGCUGGCGGCGUGCCUAAUACAUGCAGGUCGAGCGAACGGACGAGAAGCUUGCUUCUCUGAUGUUAGCGGCGGACGGGUGAGUAACACGUGGAUAACCUACCUAUAAGACUGGGAUAACUUCGGGAAACCGGAGCUAAUACCGGAUAAUAUUUUGAACCGCAUGGUUCAAAAGUGAAAGACGGUCUUGCUGUCACUUAUAGAUGGAUCCGCGCUGCAUUAGCUAGUUGGUAAGGUAACGGCUUACCAAGGCAACGAUGCAUAGCCGACCUGAGAGGGGGAUCGGCCACACUGGAACUGAGACACGGUCCAGACUCCUACGGGAGGCAGCAGUAGGGAAUCUUCCGCAAUGGGCGAAAGCCUGACGGAGCAACGCCGCGUGAGUGAUGAAGGUCUUCGGAUCGUAAAACUCUGUUAUUAGGGAAGAACAUAUGUGUAAGUAACUGUGCACAUCUUGACGGUACCUAAUCAGAAAGCCACGGCUAACUACGUG